rnacentral:rRNA from 1 species
AUUGAACGCUGGCGGAAUGCUUUACACAUGCAAGUCGAACGGCAGCACGGACUUCGGUCUGGUGGCGAGUGGCGAACGGGUGAGUAAUACAUCGGAACGUGCCCAGUCGUGGGGGAUGACGUAGCGAAAGCUACGCUAAUACCGCAUACGAUCUACGGAUGAAAGCGGUGGUUCGCAAGACGUCGCGCGAUUGGAUCGGACGAUGGCAGAUGAGGUAGUUGGUGGUGUAAAGGCUCACCAAGCCGACGAUGUGUAGCUGGUCUGAGAGGACGACCAGGCAUACUGGGACUGAGACACGGCCCAGACUCCUACGGGAGGCAGCAGUGGGGAAUUUUGGACAAUGGGCGCAAGCCUGAUCCAGCCAUUCCGCGUGGAGGGUGAAGGUCCUCGGGUUGUAAACUGCUUUUGUACGGAACGAAAAGGCUCUGGUUAAUACCCGGGGCUCAUGACGGUACCGUAAGAAUAAGCACCGGCUAACUACGUGCCAGCCGCCGCUGUAA